UCCGUAGGUGAACCUGCGGAAGGAUCAUUAGUGAAUUAAACAUGCUUGGUGUCUUCGCUUCGGCAAGGCCCUUGCUUAAAUCACAUCCUAACACCUGUGAACUGUAAGACGUAUGAUGAGGUCUUUGGCCAAGUCAUCGUCUGCCCUUUUUUAACAAACAAUUAAUGUAACAAACGUAGUCUUAUUAUAACCUAAUAAAACUUUCAACAACGGAUCUCUUGGCUCUCGCAUCGAUGAAGAACGCAGCGAAAUGCGAUAAGUAAUGUGAAUUGCAGAAUUCAGUGAAUCAUCGAAUCUUUGAACGCACCUUGCGCUCUUUGGUAUUCCGAAGAGCAUGCCUGUUUGAGUGUCAUGAAAAUAUCAACCUUGACUUGGGUUUUGUGCUCUAGUCUUGGCUUGGAAUUGGGUGCUUGCCGCUUUUACGAGCGGCUCACCUUAAAUGUAUUAGCUGGAUCUGUCUUUGAGACUUGGUUUGACUUGGCGUAAUAAGUAUUUCGCUAAGGACAUUCUUCGGAGUGGCCUCGUUUCUAGGACGCUUGUCCGCUUCCCAAUACAAGUUCCACCUCGUGGACAUGACUUUUUUAUUAUCUGGCCUCAAAUCAGGUAGGACUACCCGCUGAACUUAAGCAUAUCAAUAAGCGGAGGA
rnacentral:rRNA from 1 species